GAUGAACGCUGGUGGCGUGCCUAAUACAUGCAAGUCGAGCGAACAGAUAAGGAGCUUGCUCCUUUGACGUUAGCGGCGGACGGGUGAGUAACACGUGGGUAACCUACCUAUAAGACUGGGAUAACUUCGGGAAACCGGAGCUAAUACCGGAUAACAUUUGGAACCGCAUGGUUCUAAAGUGAAAGAUGGUUUUGCUAUCACUUAUAGAUGGACCCGCGCCGUAUUAGCUAGUUGGUAAGGUAACGGCUUACCAAGGCGACGAUACGUAGCCGACCUGAGAGGGUGAUCGGCCACACUGGAACUGAGACACGGUCCAGACUCCUACGGGAGGCAGCAGUAGGGAAUCUUCCGCAAUGGGCGAAAGCCUGACGGAGCAACGCCGCGUGAGUGAUGAAGGGUUUCGGCCCGUAAAACUCUGUUAUUAGGGAAGAACAAAUGUGUAAGUAACUGUGCACGUCUUGACGGUACCUAAUCAGAAAGCCACGGCUAACUACGUG
rnacentral:rRNA from 1 species